GCCUGGAUCCGGGCCCCUCUGGCGGUUGAGGCGUCACCGUGAUGUCGGAUCCCCGUU
rfam:Haematospirillum jordaniae strain H5569, complete genome.